GAUCCAUCAAAACGUUAAGUUAAUGAUGCUUGGUGCGAAUAUUCAUUCUCUAACAAGAAAUACAGAUAUAUCCAUUACACACUAUAGUGAUUGUUUGAGUUUGAUUGUAUAAAAUUACGCGU